rnacentral:pre_miRNA from 1 species
AUAACAUUCCUUUGGGUAAGAAGUACUACUUGUCAUCAAAAUGGAUAAAAGGAGAUGAAUCUAGACGUAUUUUAGUUCUAGAUACGUCCCUUUUUAUCCAUUUUGAUGACAAGUAUUUUUGAGCGGAGGGAGCUUAUA